rnacentral:rRNA from 1 species
GACGAACGCUGGCGGCGUGCCUAAUACAUGCAAGUUGAGCGAUGAAGAUUGGUGCUUGCACCAAUUUGAAGAGCAGCGAACGGGUGAGUAACGCGUGGGGAAUCUGCCUUUGAGCGGGGGACAACAUUUGGAAACGAAUGCUAAUACCGCAUAACAACUUUAAACAUAAGUUUUAAGUUUGAAAGAUGCAAUUGCAUCACUCAAAGAUGAUCCCGCGUUGUAUUAGCUAGUUGGUGAGGUAAAGGCUCACCAAGGCGAUGAUACAUAGCCGACCUGAGAGGGUGAUCGGCCACAUUGGGACUGAGACACGGCCCAAACUCCUACGGGAGGCAGCAGUAGGGAAUCUUCGGCAAUGGACGAAAGUCUGACCGAGCAACGCCGCGUGAGUGAAGAAGGGUGUCGGAUCGUAAAACUCUGUUGGUAGAGAAGAACGUUGGUGAGAGUGGAAAGCUCAUCAAGUGACGGUAACUACACAGAAAGGGACGGCUAACUACGUG